rnacentral:tRNA from 1 species
GUUUCCGUAGUGUAGUGGUGAUCACGUUCGCCUAACUCGCGCAAUGUCCCCAGUUCGAACCGGGCACGGAAACA